GACGAACGCUGGCGGCGUGCCUAAUACAUGCAAGUCGAGCGAGUCUGCCUUGAAGAUCGGAGUGCUUGCACUCUGUGAAACAAGAUACAGGCUAGCGGCGGACGGGUGAGUAACACGUGGGUAACCUGCCCAAGAGAUCGGGAUAACACCUGGAAACAGAUGCUAAUACCGGAUAACAACAGAUGAUGCCUAUCAACUGUUUAAAAGAUGGUUCUGCUAUCACUCUUGGAUGGACCUGCGGUGCAUUAGCUAGUUGGUAGGGUAACGGCCUACCAAGGCGAUGAUGCAUAGCCGAGUUGAGAGACUGAUCGGCCACAUUGGGACUGAGACACGGCCCAAACUCCUACGGGAGGCAGCAGUAGGGAAUCUUCCACAAUGGACGCAAGUCUGAUGGAGCAACGCCGCGUGAGUGAAGAAGGGUUUCGGCUCGUAAAGCUCUGUUGUUGGUGAAGAAGGACAGGGGUAGUAACUGACCUUUGUUUGACGGUAAUCAAUGAGAAAGUCACGACUAACUACGUG
rnacentral:rRNA from 1 species